rnacentral:rRNA from 1 species
UGCGGAGGAUCAUUACCGAGUGAGGGCCCUCUGGGUCCAACCUCCCACCCGUGUUUAUUUUACCUUGUUGCUUCGGCGGGCCCGCCUUAACUGGCCGCCGGGGGGCUUACGCCCCCGGGCCCGCGCCCGCCGAAGACACCCUCGAACUCUGUCUGAAGAUUGAAGUCUGAGUGAAAAUAUAAAUUAUUUAAAACUUUCAACAACGGAUCUCUUGGUUCCGGCAUCGAUGAAGAACGCAGCGAAAUGCGAUACGUAAUGUGAAUUGCAAAUUCAGUGAAUCAUCGAGUCUUUGAACGCACAUUGCGCCCCCUGGUAUUCCGGGGGGCAUGCCUGUCCGAGCGUCAUUGCUGCCCUCAAGCCCGGCUUGUGUGUUGGGCCCCGUCCCCCGAUCUCCGGGGGACGGGCCCGAAAGGCAGCGGCGGCACCGCGUCCGGUCCUCGAGCGUAUGGGGCUUUGUCACCCGCUCUGUAGGCCCGGCCGGCGCUUGCCGAUCAACCCAAAUUUUUAUCCAGGUUGACCUCGGAUCAGGUAGGGAUACCCGCUGAACUUAAGCAUAUCAAUAAGCGGAGGA